CACGUAGGGCGCGAGCGUUGUCCGGAAUUAUUGGGCGUAAAGAGCUCGUAGGCGGCCUGUUGCGUCCGCUGUGAAAGCCCGGGGCUUAACCCCGGGUCGGCAGUGGAUACGGGCAGGCUAGAGGUAGGUAGGGGAGAAUGGAAUUCCCGGUGUAGCGGUGAAAUGCGCAGAUAUCGGGAGGAACACCGGUGGCGAAGGCGGGUCUCUGGACAUUUCCUGACGCUGAGGCACGAAAGCCAGGGGAGCAAACGGG
rnacentral:rRNA from 1 species